AAGUCGUAACAAGGUUUCCGUAGGUGAACCUGCGGAAGGAUCAUUAUUAAAACAAUAAUCCAACCUUUAAACCAAACCGAACUGUUCUUACGCUCAUUUGGCCGAUCAGGGAUUAAUUUCUCUGUUCUCCUUAUGAGUGCGUUUUUUUUAAAACCAUUUUGAACUUUGUACUAAUUUAAUGUUCUCUACCCAACCUAAAAAAUUGGGAUUGAACGUUUUCUUUAAUGAAAACACAGAACAACUCUUAGCAACGGAUGUCUCGGCUCUC
rnacentral:misc_RNA from 1 species